rnacentral:rRNA from 1 species
UAGGGAAUCUUCGGCAAUGGACGAAAGUCUGACCGAGCAACGCCGCGUGAGUGAAGAAGGUUUUCGGAUCGUAAAACUCUGUUGUUAGAGAAGAACAAGGACGUUAGUAACUGAACGUCCCCUGACGGUAUCUAACCAGAAAGCCACGGCUAACUACGUGCCAGCAGCCGCGGUAAUACGUAGGUGGCAAGCGUUGUCCGGAUUUAUUGGGCGUAAAGCGAGCGCAGGCGGUUUCUUAAGUCUGAUGUGAAAGCCCCCGGCUCAACCGGGGAGGGUUAUUGGAAACUGGGAGACUUGAGUGCAGAAGAGAAGAGUGGAAUUCCAUGUGUAGCGAUGAAAUGCGUAGAUAUAUGGAGGAACACCAGUAGCGAAGGCGGCUCUCUGGUCUGUAACUGACGCUGAGGCUCGAAAGCGUGGGGAGCAAACAGG